UGCAAGUCGAGCGGUAGAGAGAAGCUUGCUUCUCUUGAGAGCGGCGGACGGGUGAGUAAUGCCUAGGAAUCUGCCUGGUAGUGGGGGAUAACGUUCGGAAACGGACGCUAAUACCGCAUACGUCCUACGGGAGAAAGCAGGGGACCUUCGGGCCUUGCGCUAUCAGAUGAGCCUAGGUCGGAUUAGCUAGUUGGUGAGGUAAUGGCUCACCAAGGCGACGAUCCGUAACUGGUCUGAGAGGAUGAUCAGUCACACUGGAACUGAGACACGGUCCAGACUCCUACGGGAGGCAGCAGUGGGGAAUAUUGGACAAUGGGCGAAAGCCUGAUCCAGCCAUGCCGCGUGUGUGAAGAAGGUCUUCGGAUUGUAAAGCACUUUAAGUUGGGAGGAAGGGCAGUUACCUAAUACGUGAUUGUUUUGACGUUACCGACAGAAUAAGCACCGGCUAACUCUGUGCCAGCAGCCGCGGUAAUACAGAGGGUGCAAGCGUUAAUCGGAAUUACUGGGCGUAAAGCGCGCGUAGGUGGUUAGUUAAGUUGGAUGU
rnacentral:rRNA from 1 species